AACGAACGCUGGCGGCGCGCCUAAUACAUGCAAGUCGAGCGAGAAGACGUAGCAAUACGUUUGUAAAGCGGCGAACGGGUGAGGAAUACAUGGGUAACCUACCCUCGAGUGGGGAAUAACUAGCCGAAAGGUUAGCUAAUACCGCGUACGCUCCUUGGACUUCGGUUCAGGGAGGAAAGCGAUACCGUGGGUAUCGCGCUCUUGGAUGGGCUCAUGUCCUAUCAGCUUGUUGGUGAGGAACGGCUCACCAAGGCUUCGACGGGUAGCUGGUCUGAGAGGAUGAUCAGCCACACUGGAACUGAGACGCGGUCCAGACUCCUACGGGAGGCAGCAGUGGGGAAUAUUGGACAAUGGGCGCAAGCCUGAUCCAGCCAUACCGCGUGGGUGAAGAAGGCCUC
rnacentral:rRNA from 1 species